rnacentral:rRNA from 1 species
UCGGGAAUUUUGGGCAAUGGGCGAAAGCCUGACCCAGCAACGCCGCGUGAAGGAUGAAAUCUUUCGGGACGUAAACUUCAGAAGAAUAGGAAGAAUAAAAUGACGGUACUAUUUUUAAGGUCCGGCUAACUACGUGCCAGCAGCCGCGGUAAUACGUAGGGACCAAGCGUUGUUCGGAUUUACUGGGCGUAAAGGGCGCGUAGGCGGCGUAAUAAGUCACUUGUGAAAUCUCCGGGCUUAACUCGGAGCGGCCAAGUGAUACUGUUAGGCUAGAGUGCAGAAAGGGCAAUCGGAAUUCUUGGUGUAGCGGUGAAAUGCGUAGAUAUCAAGAGGAACACCUGAGGCGAAGGCGGUUGCUAGGCUGACACUGACGCUGAGGCGCGAAAGCUAGGGUAGCAAACGGGAUUAGAUACCCAAGUAGUCCCUGAGCGGGCUGGCAAGGCGCAU